AUUGAACGCUGGCGGCAGGCCUAACACAUGCAAGUCGAACGGUAACAGGGAUCAGCUUGCUGAUUCGCUGACGAGUGGCGGACGUGUGAGUAAUGUCUGGGAAACUGCCUGAUGGAGGGGGAUAACUACUGGAAACGGUAGCUAAUACCGCAUAACGUCGCAAGCCCAAAGAGGGGGACCUUCGGGCCUCUUGCCAUCGGAUGUGCCCAGAUGGGGUUAGCUAGUAGGUGGGAUAACGGCUCACCUAGGCGACGAUCCCUAGCGGGUCUGAGAGGAUGACCAGCCACACUGGAACUGAGACACGGUCCAGACUCCUACGGGAGGCAGCAGUGGGGAAUAUUGCACAAUGGGCGCAAGCCUGAUGCAGCCAUGCCGCGUGUAUGAAGAAGGCCUUCGGGUUGUAAAGUACUUUCAGCGGGGAGGAAGGGAGUAAAGUUAAUACCUUUGCUCAUUGACGUUACCCGCAGAAGAAGCACCGGCUAACUCCGUG
rnacentral:rRNA from 1 species